UAACAUUUUAUCAUAAAAUUUAAAAUUUGUCUUAAAAUAUAAAAAUAUCUUUAAAUAUCUUAACAUUAACAACAAAACAGGUAACUAGAACUCACAAUAGAAACGUCUAAUAACGAGUAUAAAUGUAGUUGAUGUAACACAAUAAAAAUUAUGUUUUUUGUUAUGUUAAACCGUUCAUAAUAAAUUAUUUAAAAAUAUAGAGUAAAUCUAUUAUAUUUAAAAUCUAGAAAAGCAACACAAGAAGCCAAUAAUCUAAUUAAUUUACAAUUAACUUAUAACUGAUUUUUAUUUUUUCUGUUUUCUGAAUUUAAUAAAAUGUUUAUCCAUAUUGAUGUCAUGUUUUUCAUUAUUACUAUUUGUCUUCUUAAAUUAGCAUUCUCAUUUAGUUUUUGAACGAAUGGCAGAGCGAGGAGACUAGCAAUUGUCAUUAGUCACAUUUCGUGAUGAUUUUACCGUAACGCUCGAUGUGUUCGUCUUUAAGUAUGAAUUUUUAAUAAUCAUAGUAGCAUUACUAAUAAUAACGAUAACAAUAAUAAGAACCUCCUUCAUCACUAUUUUCUCUCUCUUCUCUCCUUAUUAUAUUAAAGCAGUCGUCGAACGAACUUCUAUCAACUACAUAACUCAGCUACAAUUGUUAUUAUUUUUUCACUAUCCGAAAAAUCUUUCCUAAAAACUUAACGUGCUAACAUACGUUUCUUUUUUUUGCUUCUUUCAUCUUUUUCUCUAUUUAUGUUUAUAUAUAUAUAUAAACUUUAUCGUUAUUGUUUGUAACGAGCGAGAGAAGCUAAAUAUCCCGCCUUGCACCUUGCGUUUUCGAGCACGUGAUAUUUGCAAGUGUGUAUCUAUCUCGAGAGUCGUAUGCUGCACGACCAGAUAGCGCGGCAUUAUGUAUAAUUAAAUUUUUAUUUCUAAGAAAAGAGAUUAGCAUUCAACUAUAAAACAUCGACUGCUAGCGGAGAAUUAAAAUAUGUUAGUUAAAACCACAAAAAAAUUUGUUUGUUAGCAAAUUUUGUUUUCAUUCUACUACCAUAUAAUUAUUUCUGUCAAUUUUGCACAUACUUUAGAUCAGAUUGGUAGAUUAAAAUAAUUUAUAAUCUAUUAUCAACAAGUGUGAACUUAAACGUACUAGAUGCAUGAAUAUUUAGCUUUGAUAUGUAUGUUGCAUAUUUUGUCCAUUCAGUACUUUCUACUUCCUGUAUAAAUUAUGAAAAGACAAUAUGUAACGUUGUUGUGAAACUGUAGUAAAUAUAACAAUAGUAUACAUAGUAGUCAUAAUAAUUGUGUGUGUAAGUGUAAUAACAGUGAUAUAACUGGGAUAUAAAUCAGACGUUGGCUACAAAAAGUAAAAAAUUUAUAUGGUCGUUAACGUUAGCAUCGUCGAUAUAAGUUAAUUAGCAGAUUAGUCGACAGAUGAUAAAGUUUUGAUAAUUUUUUAAAAGAUUGUUACUUCUUGAUUUUUAUAAUCAAUAGUCUCACUCUCGAAUAUUCGUUCAUUAAUUUUUACGUUCUUUUUUUAUAAUUUUAGAUAUUUUAAUUUUGUGUUUUUCCCUUAUAUUAAUUAAUUUUGUAUUAUAAUCUUGCGUUUGAGACCAAUUUUUGGUUGGAUUACUAGUUUUAUUAUGCACAAUGUUACAACUUGCCUUUUAUGUCAUGAUUUAAAGAGUUUAUAUAGCUAGCAACCCAUGGUUUUACAGUUAAAAGCAGUGACAAUUAUUAUAUUAAAUGAGAAGGAUUUAUAAAUGUGAUAGAAAAGAACAUUAAUUAAAAUAAAGAUAGUUAGUCAGACUAUAAGUGUUGUAGCAAUAUAAAGCAUAGUAUAGUUUCUGUACUACGACGCAUUCAUUGGAGCUGUUAAUUGACCAUCUAAUAGGGAAGUUUCGAGGUCCAAUUGCUUCCGAAGUUUCUCAUUUGAGCUCGAUAACUAUAUCUGACUGACUUGCACACAGACCGCAGUAAUAUAAUUGCACGCAGCAAGAAGCCAGUCACCUUCCCUGUUACGUAUCUUUUAUUUCCGGAAAAAUAAAAGGUUAAUUGAUCACUGCAUGAGUCAUGCUUGUUACGUUCUAACUAUGCAGAAGCCGUAAUCGUACGAUAAUUGUAAGACUCUAAAAAUGAUCUUAUGGUUACUGUAAGUAGUUUACUGGAUAUAUCUGUGCCGAAUGAUUGUUAAAUACGAAAUUUAGAAAGCUUUAACGAUUCUUCUGAAAACAUUCCACAAAUUUCCUGCCAAAGAAGUAUUGUAAGACACCUAUCUAAUAUAUCCCUAUCUGAGAAUCAAUUAACUUGUCUAAAACGUUCGUAGUACAUGAUCUUUAAAAAUAUAGAAUAACUAGAUAUUCCAUAAAAUAUCUAAAUAAACAAAUCAUUAAUACUAAUAAUAAGUAAAGAGUGAAUGGUUAGUUCCUGUAAUAAUCAAUAGUUAAUUUUCAAUCACCAAAUUGCGCCAAAAAUUCUCCGUAUAACUAUAGAAUAUCUAGACGAACUAUAAAUAGAAAAUAACUCAGUAUCCACAGUUGGAUACUUCACUCGUCAUACCAGAUAAUUGAUUUGUUAUAAACUAUACUACAUCUAAACACAUUCUACAGAACACCUAAUUAUCCUAUAUAAAACAACAUCACUUCACACUUCGUUUUAACUGCAACAAUUACAUAAAAAAAUCACACUCUGGUCGAGUCAGCAUUCUCUCUCUCUCUCUCUCUCUCUCUCUCUUUUUCCCUUUUUGUCUUCAUCGUCGUUUACAUCGUUUUUACCCCCUAAAUUUUCCCUUCACGAACACCAUCGACGAUCGACAAUAUUUCAGUCAUCUCUCCUUUUGGUUUUUACACAAUUCUUUCGUCAUAUUGUUUGCUUUCAAAUGAAAUGAGAUUAAACUUUUGGAAUUCUAAUUCUUUUCUGCGAUAUUUCGUUACGCGAUCUUCAUUCUUUCUAAAGACAAUUGUGUCUGUACCUUUUUGUUUCGUGCUUCUCUUCAAGAUAAUUAUUAUGUCGAUUAUUUUGAUGAUUAAUUUUAUUUUUCUUCAAUGUCGUCAAUGCCUGGAUCUCUUCGUUUUGCGCUGAAGAACAUUAGGACGUCUGUCGAGAAUUUCUCCCAAAUUUAUGGAUUUUAAACUGAAGUUUAUAUCUCUUCGUUGUAGUAAAUCGAGAGAAUUGGUUCUUGUAUUUUCUCAACAAGCAUCUUUCAAUCUCAUUCUUUAUUCUGUUGAUUUAUUUUGAUUUUUUCCAUUUACUGUAUAAAUAUAACAGCAUGCUCUGCUGUUUAUUUAGUUCAUUUACUUUUGUUGAAAUAUUUAUAAUAUAUAUUUAUUUAAUGUUUUAGAUUUAUUGUUAUGUUCCUAGUUUACGGAUGAUUUCUCUUUUGAAUUUACUGGAAAUAACUAGCGUUACCAGUAAAUUACUAGCACCGAUUAUAAUUAGAUUUUAAAAUUUCUUAAAAAUCUUUUCCAGAAUUAAAUUCAUUCUUAGAUUUUAAUUUUGUAUGUUCAGUUAGUAAUCUUCUUUUACUUCCAGUUAUCAAUACCAAUUCAGUUAUCAGAUUUUAAUAAAAAAAUCACAUCUUUUCCAAGUUUCAGCUUCUACUUUCUAAUUUCUUGCAUAUCUUGCGUAAAUUUAAUAUUUUCGAUAUUUCAAAUAUUUCAUUCAUAUAUCAUUCAACUCUUUUGAUAAUCUUUUUUCUCUGCAUAAAAGGUAAUUCUUCUUUCAUCACUAACUUCAAAUCCGAUGCAGGAUAAAAUCCUCGACAGGAUCCUUUCGAUUUUUGAAAUUGCAUCUAAAUGUGACGGCAAUGAAAAAUCCUUUAGGAAUCCUUUGAAAAUCCUUGGGAUAUCUUCUGGCUCAUUCUCGUCGUUCAUUUUCGUUCACUUUAAGCAACGAUCGACCAAUCGACUGUUGGAAUUGAUCUCCGAUUGAUCGACACGACGAUGGCGUUCCAAUGUUGGUAACUCUACAUAUCAGUUUUCCUCUUUCUCGUUGCUUCGUUAUCUCUUCCGCUACCCCUUUCUCCUUUGUUCCUCUGGGCAGCAGGGCGGAUGCGAGCCCGACGACGACGUAUGAUAUCGUUGUCAUCUUUCUCGCGAACCGCGCGAUGCAAUAG